rnacentral:rRNA from 1 species
GAUCCUGGCUCAGGACGAACGCUGGCGGCGUGCCUAAUACAUGCAAGUAGAACGCUGAAGGAGGAGCUUGCUCUUCUGGAUGAGUUGCGAACGGGUGAGUAACGCGUAGGUAACCUGCCUGGUAGCGGGGGAUAACUAUUGGAAACGAUAGCUAAUACCGCAUAACAUUGACUAUUGCAUGAUAGUCAAUUAAAAGGUAGCAAUUGCACCACUACCAGAUGGACCUGCGUUGUUA